UACGUAGGGUGCAAGCGUUGUCCGGAAUUAUUGGGCGUAAAGAGCUCGUAGGCGGUCUGUCGCGUCUGCUGUGAAAACCUAGGGCUUAACCCUGGGCCUGCAGUGGGUACGGGCAGACUAGAGUGCGGUAGGGGAGACUGGAAUUCCUGGUGUAGCGGUGAAAUGCGCAGAUAUCAGGAGGAACACCGGUGGCGAAGGCGGGUCUCUGGGCCGAUACUGACGCUGAGGAGCGAAAGCGUGGGGAGCGAACAGG
rnacentral:rRNA from 1 species